rnacentral:rRNA from 1 species
UGAGUGCGAGCUGCUACGGCAGCGAAGUUGGUGAUGUCAUGCUUCCAAGAAAAGCCCUAUACCCGUUAAGGCAUCAUGGCCUGUACCCGAAACCGACACAGGUGGGGUGGUAGAGAAUACCGAGGGGCGCGAGGUAACUCUCUCUAAGGAACUCGGCAAAAUGGCCCCGUAACUUCGGGAGAAGGGGUGCCACCGCAAGGUGGUCGCAGUGAAGAGGCCCAGGCGACUGUUUACCAAAAACACAGGUCUCCGCUAAGUCGCAAGACGAUGUAUGGGGGCUGACGCCUGCCCAGUGCCGGAAGGUUAAGGAAGCUGGUCAGCGCAAGCGAAGCUAGCGACUGAAGCCCCGGUGAACGGCGGCCGUAACGAUAACGGUCCUAAGGUAGCGAAAUUCCUUGUCGGGUAAGUUCCGACCCGCACGAAAGGCGUAACGAUCUGGGCGCUGUCUCGGAGAGAGGCUCGGCGAAAUAGAAUUGUCUGUGAAGAUGCGGACUACGUGCACCCGGACAGAAAGACCCUAUGAAGCUUUACUGUAGCUUGGUAUUGUGCCCGGGCUCGCAAUGCGCAGGAUAGGUGGGAGGCUUUGAUCAUCGGCUUGCGGGUCGAUGUGAGCCAACGGUGAGAUACCACUCUUUGCGAGCUAGGGUUCUAACGGCCACCCGUCAUCCGGGGGCCGGACAGUACCUGGUGGGCAGUUUGACUGGGGCGGUCGCCUCCUAAAAGGUAACGGAGGCGCGCAAAGGUUUGCUCAGGCUGGUUGGAAAUCAGCCGACGAGUGUAAAAGCAGAAGCAAGCUUGACUGUGAGACCAACAAGUCGAACAGGGAGGAAACUCGGCUUUAGUGAUCCGACGGUUCUGAGUGGAAGGGCCGUCGCUCAACGGAUAAAAGUUACUCUAGGAUAACAGGCUGAUCUCCCCCAAGAGUUCACAUCGACGGGGAGGUUUGGCACCUCGAUGUCGGCUCAUCGCAACCUGGGGCUGAAGUCGGUCCCAAGGGUUGGGCUGUUCGCCCAUUAAAGCGGUACGCGAGCUGGGUUCAGAACGUCGUGAGACUGUUCGGUCCAUAUCCGGUGCACGCGCAGGAAUAUUGAGAGGAUUUCUCCCUAGUACGAGAGGACCGGGAGGAACGCACCUCUGGUGUACCAGUUAUCGUGCCAACGGUAAACGCUGGGUAGCCAUGUGCGGAGUGGAUAACCGCUGAAAGCAUCUAAGUGGGAAGCCCACCUCAAGAUGAGUAUUCCCAUGGCGUAAGCCAGUAAGGUCACGGGAAGAACACCCGUUGAUAGGCUCUAUGUGGAAGCGCAGUAAUGCGUGAAGCAGAGGAGUACUAAUAGACCGAGGGCUUGACC